UAGGGUGUGGCUCAGAGGUAAAGUGCUUGUCUAGCAUGCAAGUGGCCCUGGGUUUCAUUCCCAGCAGCAUAU
rfam:Heterocephalus glaber contig268810, whole genome shotgun sequence.